rnacentral:rRNA from 1 species
GCGCACCAGUCGCGAAACCUUCGCAAUGCGGGAAACCGCGACGAGGGGACUCCCAGUGCCUACGCUCAGCGUAGGCUGUUCCCGAGCCUAGAAAGCUCGGGGAGUAAGGGCUGGGUAAGACGGGUGCCAGCCGCCGCGGUAAUACCCGCAGCCCGAGUGGUGGCCACUAUUAUUGGGCCUAAAGCGUCCGUAGCCGGCCCGGUAAAUGCCUGGGUGAAUCGUGAGGCCUAACCUCACGAAUUCCGGGUAGACUGCCGGGCUAGGGGACCGGAGGAGGGAGAGGGUACUCCAGGGGUAGGGGUGAAAGUCCUGUAAUCCCUGGAGGACCACCGGUGGCGAA